ACGGCCUGGUGGUUAUGGCGAGGGUGCCCCACCCGAUUCCAUCCCGAACUCGGCCGUGAAACCCCUCAGCGCCGAUGGUACUGCGUCUUAAGGCGUGGGAGAGUAGGUCGCCGCCAG
rnacentral:rRNA from 1 species